rnacentral:rRNA from 1 species
GAUGAACGCUGGCGGCGUGCCUAAUACAUGCAAGUCGAGCGAACAGACGAGGAGCUUGCUCCUCUGACGUUAGCGGCGGACGGGUGAGUAACACGCGGAUAACCUACCUAUAAGACUGGGAUAACUUCGGGAAACCGGAGCUAAUACCGGAUAACAUGUUGAACCGCAUGGUUCAACAGUGAAAGACGGUCUUGCUGUCACUUAUAGAUGGAUCCGCGCCGCAUUAGCUAGUUGGUAAGGUAACGGCUUACCAAGGCAACGAUGCGUAGCCGACCUGAGAGGGUGAUCGGCCACACUGGAACUGAGACACGGUCCAGACUCCUACGGGAGGCAGCAGUAGGGAAUCUUCCGCAAUGGGCGAAAGCCUGACGGAGCAACGCCGCGUGAGUGAAGAAGGUCUUCGGAUCGUAAAACUCUGUUAUUAGGGAAGAACAAAUGUGUAAGUAACUAUGCACGUCUUGACGGUACCUAAUCAGAAAGCCACGGCUAACUACGUG